UUGGAAUGAAGGCAGGAUUUGGGUUUGGGCUGGGAUGGGUUGAGUUGGGUUAAGUCAUCAGUGUUUGGAUUCCUGAUGCAUUCCUUGGUGGUGUGAAUGCCUCCCAUAUUGGAUAAUGCCUCCACGAAGGUGCCAUCCUCUUGACAAGUUGGAAAGUGUUCUAAGGAAGGAUGAAAGGGAACGUCCCCCAGUCAGUGAGGAGCCUGCAGCACUCGUCAGAGUGAGGGGGCUUUAUUGAGAAAGAGGAAAACACGGAUGGGGAGAACAAUGGCACGAAUAAAAGAGUUUAAAUUUA